CAGCUCUACAUCAUGCAAUCACAUGGACGGAGGAGGAAAAAGGGGGCUGAUCAGCAACAAACUUGAACCGUGAUCAAGUUCGCUGCAAGUCCUGUAUUCUGAUUUACAAAGGGCUAAAAAAAAACAAAAAAAACGAUGUGCCAGAACACCGUCCACCCUGCUUAAAGGAAUGAUACUCCCCCUCAUUUGGACUCACAGCUGGAACUUGAAGACUGAAAACGGAAGUUUAAAAAUUCUACAAGAGGUCUGAAAAAGACUAAAUAGUGCGUUCGAGGUUUUGGUAGCGCGGGGGAGGGGGGGUGUUACACAGCUCAGAAAAUCCGGAUGCAGUACAAAGAUAUCAUAUAAACAACGGCUCCGUGAACUUUAACCCCGACACUCGCUAAGUCUCACGUUAUUGGUGGGUGGGGCGCAGAGCUCACGACACCUCCAGCAGCCUCCUGGAGCGGGGGAGUGCGACAACUGCAGACAAACCUGAGUGGGGUUUUUUUACAGUUCUGGCUCAAACUUGGGUCACACACCGGAGACACUAAAGCUUUUCAAUACAUUGCCUGUCCGCGCCGGGCCUUAAUAUUAAGGCGUGUGCAGAAGUGAUCGCAUCUACAAACCUUAAUAAUAUAUUUUAUGUACAGUGCACUGGAACUUUUUUUUUCCUGUUGGGAACUGUUCUGUAAAAAUGCAACAGUGACUCAUGACCGCGGUCGAUCAGAUAACGACGGACGAGUCACACGUCAGCGGUGUACAGUGCACAAGCUUUCAGCGGAGAAUGAGAGAAAAAGAUGUUUCGAUAAGAAACCGUGCCGCAGUUACUUUUUUUGUAUCAACCUUUUAGAGUAAUUCAACCACGACGAAAUACGACAGCCCAAGGAUCUGGAGUUUCGAACAAGUCGAAGAACGUUUCCAUCCCCUACACAAAGCACUGACGAAAUAGGACGGAAUUCGGACACAUCGUGCCAAAUGAGUUUGUGCUGAUGAAGAGUCAGAUGGGGAAACAGUGCACAUCGGACCAAAAAUCAGAGAGAGCUCAGCACGCCACUUUGAAGUCAAGUACAGGCAAAUCCCUCCACGAUCUUUCUGAAGGCCCCUGGAAUGACACUGUGAUCUUGGGGUACAGGACUGUGCGCAAUUCAGCAGGAACAGACUGCACAGAGAUGGGGUUUUGUGUCCCUUCAUAACACUGGACAGAAAACAGCAAGAAGAGCCUUUCCUCUUAUCACAGUGGUGCUGACACCCGAGUACAGCAGAGCAGAUGUGUCUGACAACUCACAGGUACAGCAGGAGAGCCACGGUGUCAGACGCUCUGCUGUGGGCCACAUGUGUGAUCAGCACCGAGAGCCGCAAACAGCCAGGAUUUCCUGGGUACGAGGCCUUUGAUGGAGAGCAGAGGUGCUGACAGAACCCAUGAAACAUUCAAAUGGCUUGUGAUUGACGGGCAGUUGGACGUGCUCUGCUUUGAGCUGGCUGAAGAGUGAGAAGACAAACACACAUCAUUAAGCCAUCAACAGGGGCAAACUGUGAACAUGUGACGCCUGUGGCCGUGUUUUUGCAGGGCCCCGUUUGGUGACAUUGCCCAGACGUGAGACGUGAGAGAGCUGUCCAGUGUGUGAAGUGCAGAGGCUUUGAUGUCAAGAAAAAAAUAAAGUCCUAAAGAGAGGGAGAAGAGGCCAGGGAGCAAAAUGUCAUCACACUAAGAGGCUUGUCGUGACACAAGAGCACUCAAGGAGUAGCUGACAUAAGCGUUUGUAUUGUAGACCUCAACAAUUAGCAGCUACACAAACUUACAAAGAAGAAUGAAGGAAAAGAGGGGAAAAAAGUCCCUUGGUUUUGUCAUUUGACCGAUUGUUGGAGCAGAGCUCUAAAACUUGGAAAAUAAUUAAAGUACUUUGUGGUUGGGGAGGUAGCCAGGACUUGUGAAGCAGAAAGACUUAGUUCAAGACUGCUUUUUAAGCUUUCCAAUAAUACAGAACCUGAAUAUCAUGCACACACAUACCGGCUCAUUGAUUUGACCACUGAUAUCUUAACAAGCAGAGCAGCCUUUGAAAAGAACGGCCACCCAAAGCUUACUUAAUGGGACCUGCUAUAUGUGUGGUAGACGAUUUGAUACAUGGGUAUGCUUUAUGGAGCGUUGUUCAUUUUAAAAUGAACCGUAGUCAAAUUUCUUUUCUCCUCCCUCGUCUCGUGCAUCUGGAGGACACGAUUCAAAUUUCACCUUUCUGCUACAAAGUCAAAGGUGAGCACGUGAGCCCAAAGCCCGAAUAUGGUUGGGAUUCUGUUUUCAAGACCUGUAAAUUACGUCGCAGACAGUUGGAAAAAAAGUUACACCUCAUGCAAUUAGAGUAACAAUUAGAGUAACAAGAAUGUUUAGGAUGCCUUCAAUAUCAAACAGAAAACAGUAAAAAACAAACUCAAUAUAAACACCCCAAGAAUUACUGAAUCUCUCGAGCGAUCGCCUUUUUGAGGCAGCGCCUUGUACUUUUUAAUAACCCAGAUGUUCACACUUUUACUGACAGCUUUCAGUCAGAAGGAGAGGCUCCGGGUGCUCCUAGGGUGCAUCUCUCAUAAUACAUGCUGACCUCGCCCCCUCAGUCUCUGAAAACGUGCCUGUGCUCGGGAGACCCAAGGGCUGUUUACUUAAAGGCGAUUAGAGUGUGGUAAACAGACUUUUGGCAGGUUGUUUUGGAAAAGCUGAGAGGGUCUCAGCAGACUGUUCUAACGUGAUGUUUCAGAAGAGAGGAGUUUGUGGGUGAGUGUUGGCGGUUGGGGAGGGGUGGGGGAGUUAGAUUUCCUGGGUUGUCUUACCUACUUAGCUUUGCCUGGGGAAAAGGGUUUUACACACACAAUAACAAAAGUUCUGCCCUUCCCCCAACACCUCACCUCCCCACCCCCAUCCUAAAUGGGAAGUUUCGGACUGUUUGACUGUUUGGAAAACAAAGUGUUAGCUGAAGCCCUUCCCAAAUCCAGAAUCGUAACAAAGGUAGGAGUUCCUGAGAAGCAGGGCGACCGGAGCUACACUCUCAGUUAGGCAGAACCCAUGUAAAAUGGAGCAUCACAGCACCCUGGAAAAAACAGAAAGCAGCGUUCUUGACAGACAGAAAGAGGGAGAUGCUUUCACUCAGUUUUGUGGUCAAUGACGUAAAACCGAAAGGCGCAAAUCUUAUUUUCUCCUUGGCUGAUAAAAGGCCACAGACAUGCUUUCGCAGAGAAACAUGGAUGCUGCAACUGCACUCAGAGCCUCUUUCUGACUCCUGCAAAAACCACAUCAGUCAGAUUUCGCCAGCGAAUACAUUUUAAACGUCAUCUCAUGUGGAGCUUAAAAGACUGCUCGCAAAUGCUGAACGAGACAAAGACCUGAAAAUUACAACACUAUUUCUGAUUGGCGUUUUGUUUUUUAUAACAUAGCACACCUUAUGAAAGGUUCAUGAUGUACCAAGCAUCGCCUACUGUUUUAAUACCUGAUAAAAAGAGAUAAAAAGACACUCAGUGACUUAAAAACUAAAAAUGGUAGGGAGUUGUUAUAAGUUAAGUCAAUACUGAUGCGGUUAGGCAGGUUUUCCUUUUUAGCCAAUUACUUGAAAAUCACAUUCUAAGAACAUCACUAAAUGGCCAUGGUUGUAAUUACUGCCCGAAGCACAAGUCUUUCUAAACCUGGUCCUGGUGAAGUCUCAGUCCAGAUGUUUUUAUAGACAGCCUUUAAAAAAAUAAUUUUCUGAAGGCCUGGAACAAAUGAACUAUGAUCCUUAAUUGAACCUGUGGUGUGUUAAAUAAAGUAGAGAUCAUUUGAAACAAA